rnacentral:rRNA from 1 species
AUUGAACGCUAGCGGGAUGCUUUACACAUGCAAGUCGAACGGGUGGCGGACGGGUGAGUAAGAAAUCGGAACGUGACCAGUAGCGGGGGAUAAGUAAUCGAAAGAGAGGCCAAAAACGCACACAAUUGGAGCGGCCGGUGUCGGAUUAGCUAGUUGGUGGGGUAAAGGCUCACCAAGGCCACGAUCCGUAGCUGGUUUGAGAGGACGACCAGCCACACUGGGACUGAGACACGGCCCAGACUCCUACGGGAGGCAGCAGUGGGGAAUUUUGGACAAUGGGCGAAACCCGGAUCCAGCCAUCCCGCGUGUAUGAGAAGGCCUUCGGGUUGUAAAGUACUUUUGGCAGAGAAGCGGUAUCUGCAGAAUAAGCACCGGCUAACUACGUGCCAGCAGCCGCGGUAAUAC